CCGCGCGGUCCCGCCAGGGGGCGCCAGGCACCGGCUCCCCCAACUCUGGGCUCCUUGCGCAGGUCCAGCUGUGCUCCAAGAUUAUCUUUCCUUCUAUAGCUCACUAGAUCUUCUUAUGCUCACAGGAGUGCCAUCCCUCACUCCAGAGCCAUCCUCAGAAUUCUAAAGCAGAAUUAGAAAAAUCCUUGCUCUACCAGCCUGGGCAACAUAAGGAGAUCCUGCCUCUACAAAAAAUGAAAUGUAGUCCCAGCUACUCAGGAGGCAGAGGUAGGAGGAUCACUGGAGCCCAAGAGUUGGAGGCUACAGUGAGCUAUGAUAGAGCUGUUGCACCCCAGCCUGGGCCACAGAGCGAGACCCGCCUCUAAAGCAAUAAUAAUAGUGAAAAUUUUUAAAAUAAAUAAAAAAGAAAAAUUCUCACUCUUUAGCUAUUGAAUUUUGUGGCAGUGAUUUCUUCAGAAACUGGCUCUUCCCAUCCCCACUCCACCCACAGAGAGGAUGAGCUACAUCCGUGCAGAGCCUGGCACUCCGAAUGCUGGCGGAAUUGAUUCAGUAGCAUGAGCAGGAAGGUCCAUUUGAAGAGAUUACUCCAAAACAGCGGUUCGCAACAAGGGCUUUCUUCCAUGUCCCGUUGGCCAGAGCAGACCCUGGAAAGAAGCCCUCCCCAAGGCGCCUUGUUGACUACGGCCAAGGCCUGGCCCAGUGCUGGACACCAGUCUAUGUGAGUAUAUUUCUGUAAGUCCAUAGUUAUUAGCAGAAUCCCACCCCAGUGUGAGACCUGGUUGUGUUUGACCAGGUCCAUGAAGUGUAGUAGCAGUUGCUCCCAC
rnacentral:lncRNA from 10 species